UGGAGCCGCCUUUGUUAACAGCAACAA
rnacentral:piRNA from 1 species